rnacentral:misc_RNA from 1 species
UUAAGUUCAGCGGGUAGUCCUACCUGAUUUGAGGUCAGAUCUCAAAGAGUGUUGACCGCCGCUCCAGAGGCAGGUCGGGGUCGGGCGCGCAAAGCUGAGGCACGUCGGAGGAGCGAGGGUAAUACAACGCCCAGGUGACAGAGCCCCAGUAGGCCCGACCGAUGCAUUUAAGGGGAGCCGCCUCGCGGCAGCAGAGCCCC